rnacentral:lncRNA from 1 species
UCAAGGGAAGAGGCUCCUCAUUUCAAACUCAGCCAAUGAGAGUGUGAUCGUGUGUGAGGCAUCUUGGACUGAGAUGCUUUGCCUUUCAAGCCUGUCACAGCCUGUCAAGGAUCUCCACCUUAUCCACAACCUUAUCCUAACCUCAGCGCACACUCCUCUCUUCCUGGUAAGUUUCCCUUUACCCAUUUCACUCUCAAGUAACUCCUUUCACUAAGGUAACUUCCUUUUAACCCUUUUUACCACAGUAACUAAUAUUUACUGUGGUAACUUUCUCCACCCAAGUAACUUCAACACUCCAUAACUACUCCUCAACUCAACACUUCUGACCUUGUCAAACACCUAAAGGGACCCCCUUGAAGCUGACUCUCAAAAAGAAACACCAACAGACACAAACUUGAAUUUCAAAGGAUCUAGCUCUUGAAAAAUCUCAAGAACUCUCAAGAACACUC